UACGAAGGGGGCUAGCGUUGUUCGGAAUUACUGGGCGUAAAGGGCUCGUAGGCGGUUUGUCGCGUCGGGAGUGAAAAUCCAGGGCUUAACUCUGGACUGGCUUCCGAUACGGGCAGACUAGAGGUAUGCAGGGGAGAACGGAAUUCCUGGUGUAGCGGUGAAAUGCGCAGAUAUCAGGAGGAACACCGGUGGCGAAGGCGGUUCUCUGGGCAUUACCUGACGCUGAGGCGCGACAGCGUGGGGAGCAAACAGG
rnacentral:rRNA from 1 species